rnacentral:rRNA from 1 species
GAGUUUGAUCCUUGCUCAGGAUGAACGCUGGCGGCAUGCUUAACACAUGCAAGUCGAACGAGCUGUGCUUUUGUACAGAACGUGGCGGACGGGUGAGUAAUUCGUGAGAAUCUGCGUUUAGGUGGGGGAUAAUCUACGGAAACGUUUAAUAAUACCCCAUAAUGCUAUCGUUAGAUAGUGAAAGUGUUUUCGCCUAAACAUGAGCUUACGUCUGAUUAGCUUGUUGGUAGGGUAAAGGCCUACCAAGGCUGUGAUCAGUAGUUGAUUUGAGAGAGUGAUCAACCACACUGGGACUGAGAUACGGAACAGACUUCUACGGAAGGCAGCAGUGGGGAAUUUUGCACAAUGGGCGAAAUGCCUGAUGCAGCAAUGCCGCGUGGGGGAAGAAGGUAUUUUUUAUUGUAAACCCCUUUUCUCAUUGAAGAAUAGUUGACGGUAUUUGAGGAAUAAGCAUCGGCUAAUUCUGUGCCAGCAGCCGCGGUAAUACAGGAGAUGCAAGCGUUAUCCGGAAUUAUUGGGCGUAAAGGGUACGUAGGCUGUUAAAUAUGUUCAAUAUUAAAAUUUAGAGCUCAACUUUGAACUUGUAUUGAAAACUAUUUGACUUGAGUGUAAUAGGGGUAAAGGGAAUUUCCAGUGUAGCGGUGAAAUGCGUAGAUAUUGGAAAGAACACCGGCGGCGAAGGCGCUUUACUAGGUUACUACUGACGCUGAGGUACGAAAGCUAAGGUAAUGAUUAGGAUUAGAUACCCUAGUAGUCUUAGCUGUAAACGAUGGAUACUAAAUGGUGUUUUACGCACUGUUAAAGCUAACGCGUUAAGUAUCCCGCCUGGGGAGUACGCUUGCAAAAGUGAAACUCAAAGGAAUUGACGGGGGCCUGCACAAGCGGUGGAGCGUGCGGUUUAAUUCGAUGCUACACGAAGAAUCUUACCAGAACUUGACAUGUUAAGUUGCUAUUGAAAGAUAGUUAUUCCUUUUGGAACUUAAACACAGGUGGUGCAUGGUUGUCGUCAGUUCGUGUUGUGAAAUAUUUAGUUAAGUCUAGUAACGAACGCAACCCUCUUUUCUAGUUGUUUUUUUAAUAUCUAGAAAGACUGCCGGUUAUAAAUCGGAGGAAGGAGAGGAUGAGGUCAAAUCAUCAUGCCCCUUAUGUUCUGGGCUACACGCGCGCUACAAUGGGUGAGACAAUGGGUUGCCACUUUGUGAAAAGGAGCUAAUCUCAAAAACUCAUCCUCAGUUCAGAUUGAAGGCUGAAACUCGCCUUCAUUAAGAUGGAAUCGCUAGUAAUCGUCAAUCAGAUAUGUGACGGUGAAUACGUACUCAGGCCUUGUACACACCGCCCGUCACACCAUGGAAGUUAGCUAUGCUUGAAGAUAUACUCCUAACAUUUUGAGGGGGGUUUUUAUGGCCGAGUUGAUAACUGGGGUGAAGUCGUAACAAGGUAGCCGUACUGGAAGG